rnacentral:rRNA from 1 species
ACGAACGCUAGCGGCGUGGCCUAAGGUAUGCAAAGUCGAACGGCCCCGCAAGGGCAGUGGCGAAACGGUCGCGUAAACACGUAGACAACCUGCCUCCCAGUGGGGGGAUAACAGCUCGAAAGGGCCUGCUAAUACCGCAUUGUGGUGGUCCCGAGGCGUCGGGAUUGACUAAAGGAGCAAUCCGCUGGGGAGAUGGGUCUGCGGCCUAUCAGCUUUGUUGGUGGGGUAACGGCCUACCAAGGCGACGACGGGUAGCUGGUCCUGAGGAGGAUGAUCAGCCGGACGGGGACUGAGACACGGCCCCGACUCCUUCGGGAGGCAGCAAUGAGGGAUAUUGCGCAAUGGGGGGAAACCCUGACGCAGCGACGCCGCGUGGGGCGAGGAAGUCCUUCGGGAUGUUAAAGCCCUUUUGACCGGGGACGAUCCCAGACGGUUACCGGUCGAAAUAAGCCCCGGCUAAACUACCGUGCCAGCAGCCGCGGGGUAAUACGUAGGGGGCAAGCGUUGUCCCGGAUUUACUGGGCGUAAAGCGCGCGUAGGCGGAGCUUUAAGUCUGGCCUGAAAGCCCCCGGCUCAACCGGGGGAGGGCGGCUGGAAACUGGAGUUCUUGAGGGCGAUAGAGGGUGUGUGGAAUUCCUGGUUGUAGCGGUGAUAAAUGCCGUAGAUAUCAGGAGGAAACACCCGUGGGCGAAGGCGGCACACUGGGUCGGCCCCUGACGCUGAGGCGCGAAAAGCGUGGGGAGCGAACGGGAAUUAGAUACCCCGGUAAGUUCCACGCCGGUAAACGAUGGUCACUAGGUGUGUGCGGUUAUCGACCCCCGCACGUGCCGCAGCUAACGCAGUAAGUGACCCGCCUGGGGAGUACGGCCCGCAAAGGUUGAAACUCAAAGGAAUUGACGGGGGCCCGCCACAAGCGGUGGAGCAUGUGGGAUUAAUACGUCACUAACCGUAGAAACCUUACCCAGGCUUGACAUCUGUGGAACCUGCCUGAAAGGGCGGGGUGCCCCGCAAGGGGGAGCCGCAAGACAGGUGUUGCAUGGCUGUCGUCAGCUCGUGUCGUGAGAUUGUUGGGUUAAGUCCCGCAAACGAGCGCAACCCUCACCGACUGUUGCCCAGCACGCGCAAGCGGAUGGGCAACUCUGUCGGAAACUGCCCGUGCAAGCGGGAGGAAGGUGGGGAUGACGUCAAGUCAGCAUGGCCCUUACGCCUGGGGCUUCACACAUGCUACAAUGGCCGGUACAAAGGGCACCGAAGCCGCGAGGGCAGGGGCAAAUCCCAAAAAGCCGGUCUCAGUGCGGAUCGCAGGCUGCAACUCGCCUGCGUGAAGUCGGAAAUCGCUAGUAACCGCCGGUCAGCUAAACGGCGGUGAAUACGUUCCCGGGCCUUGUACACACCGCCCGUCACGUCACCUGAAGUCUUGUUGCACCCGAAGCCGCUGGCCCAACCGCCAAGGAGGGAGGCGUCGAAGGUGUGGGCCGGUAAGGGGGACG